rnacentral:rRNA from 1 species
AACGAACGCUGGCGGCAGGCUUAACACAUGCAAGUCGAGCGCCCCGCAAGGGGAGCGGCAGACGGGUGAGUAACGCGUGGGAAUCUACCCAUCCCUACGGAAUAGCUCCGGGAAACUGGAAUUAAUACCGUAUACGCCCUACGGGGAAAGAUUUACCGGGGAUGGAUGAGCCCGCGUUGGAUUAGCUAGUUGGUGGGGUAAAGGCCUACCAAGGCGACGAUCCAUAGCUGGUCUGAGAGGAUGAUCAGCCACAUUGGGACUGAGACACGGCCCAAACUCCUACGGGAGGCAGCAGUGGGGAAUAUUGGACAAUGGGGGCAACCCUGAUCCAGCCAUGCCGCGUGAGUGAUGAAGGCCUUAGGGUUGUAAAGCUCUUUCACCGGGGAAGAUAAUGACGGUACCCGGAGAAGAAGCCCCGGCUAACUUCGUGCCAGCCGCCGCAGUAA